UACGGAGGGUGCAAGCGUUGUCCGGAUUCAUUGGGCGUAAAGGGCGUGUAGGCGGCCUUGUAAGUCCGACGUGAAAUCCCUCGGCUCAACCGAGGAAGUGCGUUGGAUACUGCGAGGCUUGAGUGCGGGAGAGGAAGGUGGAAUUCCCAGUGUAGCGGUGAAAUGCGUAGAUAUUGGGAGGAACACCGGUUGCGAAGGCGGCCUUCUGGACCGCCACUGACGCUGAGACGCGAAAGCGUGGGGAGCAAAC
rnacentral:rRNA from 1 species